CAAUUAAUUUUUUGAUGGUUUCCGUCCCUUUACUUAGUAAACCGUUUGAUUUUUGUCCUUUGACCAUGUUGACCGCUGAUGUGUGAUGCCAGCGUGUAGGUGACUGCUGACGUGGCGGUAAAUUAGCCAGUUCAACCGGUUUUUUCUUUUUCUUUAAUUACAUGAAGGAAAAACCUAUUUUUUAUUUUUACUUUAAUUCAUAAUUUCUACCCCCAAGUCAAUUUGGCUUCUUCACAAAGUCAUAAGCAAACCUCCAUAUUCUUCUUCAUCUUCUAGAGAGAAGAGGGAGACGUUCUUCAUCUUCCAGUUCUGUCACCAGCACAACUCCAGCUUACAAAAAAAAAAAAAAAAAAACCAGCACAACUCCAUAAAAUGCAACCCAAAUCAAACCCCAGAAGCAAGAUGAAGAUGAAGAUCGAUAUAAAGACCCAUAAUCAGAUCGGGAAGAAUAAACGUGCCCCACGCAUACGAGGUGGAAAGGUUCCUCAUUUCUUUGAUGUGGUCUCCGAUUCGAAGAGAGGAGAGGAAGAUCUCCAAGAACGUGUCUUCCUCUUUCAGAAUAGAGACCGUCGGAAAGUUCACCGGUAAUCGCCUCUCGUGGCGGCGCGCGGCGUAGGACAGCGGAGGAGUCACAUUUUAAUGGAUCCUCUUCUCCUUAUUAUGGGGAUCAUCUCGGUGGUAUCUAUUUUCCCAAAAGGUGCAAGAUAUGGCCAAAAAAAGCCGUUGCAGGUCGGGUGGCUCGAUGGAGUAAACCCAGAUUGUGGCGGAGCUCGGUCCUGGAGGCUUCUGGGGUCUUCUUCUUCACCUAGAUCGAAGUGAGGGUUUCAAAUCUGGCCUUGUGCUCUAUGGGUCGGUCACGUUCUUGGUGGAGGUGAUGGGGUUUGUGAGGAUGAUGAUGAAACAGUGAUGAAGAAGGGUGGAGAUGAAACGAUGAUGAUGAAACAGUGAUCAUCCAAAUUUCUGGUUCGUGGUGUGUUUUUUGAGAUAUGAAGAAAAUGCACUAGCAUGGGGAAUUUUUGGUCUGAAUAUUUGUUUUGUUGAUUGUUCAUGGAAAGUAGAGAAGAGAACUACAAUGGCACUGCAAGAGACUUCUCCAAAAAAAGAGCUUAUAGAGGACAACUAGUAGUAUUCUAAGGGGUGGUGAUGAUAAGAGUUCGCAUGAAGGUCAGGUAAAAAUAAAAUGCAACAACAUAGGCAGGAAUAAAAAAAUCCAACAUGGAAUAAAAAAUAGAAAUUAUCAACUUUUCCUUCAUAUAAUUAAAAAAAACUGGUUAAACUGGCUAAUUUACCGCUGUCGCAACCUGGGGUCGCAGCAAGACGGCGCGCUAAAACUUAAUCAAAGUAUCAGAAGAGUCGCCACUAAUGUUUUUAGGGAGAAAAUAAGAGAACCCAAAUAAUAGAAACAAAAUCUAGAUUCGGGAGUCGGUUACGUAUAGGGCGUUAGCGCCCUACAACGUCCGUUAAGAAACGGUUACCUAUGUCAAUUAUACAAAAUUUCUUAGCUUUCUAAAUCAUUUAUUUUACCCUUAAGAAAAUGUCUUGUAUUUUUUUUUUUAAAAAAGGAAUAUAUACAAGUUGCUAGUGUGAUGGAAAGAUUAUUCUACAAAGAAGAACAAAAUUUAGAUUUUUGUUUGGAGUGCCUGGCGGGAGUGACCCCUGGCCUACGUAUUCUCUAUCAACAGAGAAAAUCAAGGCUGCGUAAUUCUUGGGUAGAAAAACAUGAGUUGGUUGUGAUGUUUUUUAGUUUUAUUCAUUUGAGAAAAGAUAAUGAUUUGUUUUAUUUAUUUAUUUUUAUUUGCAAAAAGGUUUAAUCCUUCCAUUUUAUGAUGAAUUCUCAAUAACAUUGAAAACAAUAUUUUUAGAUUUUCUUAAGCAAAUAAUCAGUUAGAGAGAAAACUAGUAAUAAUUGGUAUUCAUAUUUUCACAACCAAAAGCAAUCUAAUCUAUAUAUGGUACCAAAAGAGAAAAACUGAACCAAGCCAUGAUUCAAAAAGAAAGGUCCCAUCAGAUAUUGUUUUUGAUAGUGCACGGGCUCACAAAAAGGAAAAGGGGCAUAGACCAUAUAAAAAGAAAUCAAGAAGAAAGGAAAGAAAGAAUGAGAAAAAAAAAGAAAGGGAAAGAAGAUGGGCCUAGGCGCGUAGCAUAAUCAGAUUAGGUUACUUUAGGUUUAUUAAAAAAAGAGCAAGAGACAUUAGGGGAAAUAAACCCCAUCCCUUUUUCCAACCAGUUAGCAUUUUUCUUUUAUACGUUCUCUUCUCCUCUGUUUCGUUCCUGUUUCUCUUCUUCUUCCUUUCUCUUUUUUUUUUUUGAAACCCUAGCCUACGCCGCCGGCCUUCUCUUGUGCGCGCGUGGCCAUGGUGGCCGCAGCCAUGGCAGGGUUCGACGAGGCCGAUUAGGGCCACCGCAACACCAAAGUCACCGCCGAAAGGCGGCGGUACGGCGAGAGCCACUCAGAUCUGAGAGAGGGGUCAAAACACUCAGAUUCGUCAUGUGUUGGUGAUGAUUUAUGUGGAAGUGGAACUGAUUGAGUGGGGAAAGAGGAGAAUCAGAGCAGCAACACAACCACAACGCAAAAGCCACCACCUUUCGGCGAUGCUCCGGCGAGGGUUAGUGAAGGUGAUCCACAAACACACCGCCACAACUCCGAGCCACCAUCCUCCGGCGGUGGCUCAGUGAGGGCGUGAAGGGCUUGGCCUCCCCCUUUCCUGCACUGCUGUUGUUUAUCACUGUAUUUUACCUUUUUUUUGUUUUGUUGGUUUAAGUAUUACUUAGUUUUUUCAAUCCCUCAUGUAUCUAUUUUAGUCUAAGUUUCUUUAUUACCUUAGGAUGUAAAGAUGUAACAGGAACAAUACAAAGGUGAAAAGGAAAUGAAUUUACAGAGAAACAAAUUCACAUGUA